UCUUAUGGCCGGCCAAGCAAGGGAACAAAGAGAAAAAGAGAAGAACAAACCCUAGGAAGGAAAAAUUCAAGAGAAAUUGUUGGAUUUCAAGGAAUCAAGCAAGUAAAGGUAAGAUUUUUUUAUUUUAGCUUGUGAUCUACCUUUCCCAUGCAUUCUUUUUCAUUCUCCAUGGCUGAAAUUCAAGUUUUCAAGAGGGAACCUUUGCUGGCCAAAUCUAGAGAGAGAAGUUUUGGUGAUGAAUUUUGCUAGAUUUCAUAAUAUCCUAGUGUUUUUAGUCAUUUUGUGAUGUUUGGAAGGAAAAACAAGCAAGAAAAUCACAUG
rnacentral:lncRNA from 1 species